AGUGAACGCUGGCGGUAGGCCUAACACAUGCAAGUCGAACGGCAGCACAGUAAGAGCUUGCUCUUACGGGUGGCGAGUGGCGGACGGGUGAGGAAUACAUCGGAAUCUACUUUUUCGUGGGGGAUAACGUAGGGAAACUUACGCUAAUACCGCAUACGGCCUACGGGUGAAAGCAGGGGAUCUUCGGACCUUGCGCGAUUGAAUGAGCCGAUGUCGGAUUAGCUAGUUGGCGGGGUAAAGGCCCACCAAGGCGACGAUCCGUAGCUGGUCUGAGAGGAUGAUCAGCCACACUGGAACUGAGACACGGUCCAGACUCCUACGGGAGGCAGCAGUGGGGAAUAUUGGACAAUGGGCGCAAGCCUGGUCCAGCCAUACCGCGUGGGUGAAGAAGGCCUUCGGGUUGUAAAGCCCUUUUGUUGGGAAAGAAAAGCAGCAGGUUAAUACCCCGCUGUUCUGACGGUACCCAAAGAAUAAGCACCGGCUAACUUCGUG
rnacentral:rRNA from 1 species